GGCGCCAUCGUCCAGUUGGUUAGGACGUCUGUCUAGUAAACAGAAGGUCCCGGGUUCAAAUCCCGGUGGUGCCU